rnacentral:rRNA from 1 species
AACGUAGGUCACAAGCGUUGUCCGGAAUUACUGGGUGUAAAGGGAGCGCAGGCGGGAAGACAAGUUGGGAGUGAAAUCCAUGGGCUCAACCCAUGAACUGCUUUCAAAACUGUUUUUCUUGAGUAGUGCAGAGGUAGGCGGAAUUCCCGGUGUAGCGGUGGAAUGCGUAGAUAUCGGGAGGAACACCAGUGGCGAAGGCGGCCUACUGGGCACCAACUGACGCUGAGGCUCGAAAGUGUGGGUAGCAAACAGG